CGGGUGAGUAACACGUAAGUAAUCUACCUUUGAGUGGGGAAUAACAAGUCGGAAACGACUGCUAAUACCGCAUAAUGCAGCGGCACCGCAAGGUGACAGUUGUUAAAGGAGCAAUUCGCUUGAAGAGGAGCUUGCGGCAGAUUAGCUUGUUGGUAAGGUAACGGCUUACCAAGGCUACGAUCUGUAACCGGUCUAAGAGGACGGUCGGUCACACUGACACUGAAUAACGGGUCAG
rnacentral:rRNA from 1 species